AAUAGAUACCCGGGUAGUCCACGCCGUAAACGAUGAGUGCUAAGUGUUAGGGGGUUUCCACCCCUUAGGUGCUGCAGCUAACGCAUUAAGCACUCCGCCUGGGGAGUACGGUCGCAAGACUGAAACUCAAAGGAAUUGACGGGGGCCCGCACAAGCGGUGGAGCAUGUGGUUUAAUUCGAAGCAACGCGAAGAACCUUACCAGGUCUUGACAUCCCGAUGACCGCUCUAGAGAUAGAGCUUUCCCUUCGGGGACAGCGGUGACAGGUGGUGCAUGGUUGUCGUCAGCUCGUGUCGUGAGAUGUUGGGUUAAGUCCCGCAACGAGCGCAACCCUUGUUCUUAGUUGCCAUCAUUCAGUUGGGCACUCUAAGGAGACUGCCGCAGACAAUGCGGAGGAAGGUGGGGAUGACGUCAAAUCAUCAUGCCCCUUAUGACCUGGGCUACACACGUGCUACAAUGGACGGUACAAACGGUUGCGAAGUCGCGAGACGGAGCCAAUCCGAGAAAACCGUUCUCAGUUCGGAUUGCAGG
rnacentral:rRNA from 1 species